rnacentral:lncRNA from 1 species
GAUUAGGUCAAGAAUGCUCACGAUCAAACCAAUAGUUGUAGUUGGUCGGAUCGAUUGAAAUCUAUAUAUUAAAUUGAUGGAUCCAAAGAUCUAAUUUGGCUCAGUGGCUUAAGUCUCAAUUACUUAAGCUAACCUAUUUAAAAUCAUUUGACCAAUUAGUGUCUAAGACAAGUGCUAGAUGGUGGUUAUUUAAUUAGGACCCUAGAAUGUUCAAGGGGGAGCCUCCCACUCAUCUUCACUUAUGUCUUCAAUUAACAUAAGGCA